UAGGGAAUCUUCCACAAUGGGCGCAAGCCUGAUGGAGCAACACCGCGUGAGUGAAGAAGGGUUUCGGCUCGUAAAGCUCUGUUGUUAAAGAAGAACACGUAUGAGAGUAACUGUUCAUACGUUGACGGUAUUUAACCAGAAAGUCACGGCUAACUACGUACCA
rnacentral:rRNA from 1 species